rnacentral:rRNA from 1 species
AUAUACGGCCAUACUACCCUGAACAUGCCUGAUCUCAUCUGAUCUCAGAAGCUAAGCAGGAUCGGGUCUGGUUAGUGCUUGGAUGGGAGACUGCCUAGGAAUGCUGGGUGCUUUAGGCU